rnacentral:snRNA from 1 species
CUCUUCGAUUUCCUUACACCUAAUGGCG